rnacentral:tRNA from 1 species
GCUCAGUUUGGUAGAGCGACUGGCUCUUAACCAGAAGGCCGAGGGUUCAAAUCCCUC